AAUCUACCUAGUAGAGGGGGACAACAUGUGGAAACGCAUGCUAAUACCGCAUACACCCUAAGGGGGAAAGGAGGGGACUCUUCGGAGCCUUCCGCUAUUAGAUGAGCCUGCGUGAGAUUAGCUAGUUGGUAGGGUAAAGGCCUACCAAGGCGACGAUCUCUAACUGGUCUGAGAGGAUGACCAGUCACACUGGGACUGAGACACGGCCCAGACUCCUACGGGAGGCAGCAGUGGGGAAUAUUGGACAAUGGGCGGAAGCCUGAUCCAGCCAUGCCGCGUGUGUGAAGAAGGCCUUAGGGUUGUAAAGCACUUUC
rnacentral:rRNA from 1 species